rnacentral:rRNA from 1 species
CAAUAGCGUAUAUUAAAGUUGUUGCGGUUAAAAAGCUCGUAGUUGGAUUUCUGCUGAGAACGACCGGUCCGCCCUUUGGGUGUGUAUCUGGCUCUUUCUUGGCAUCUUCUUGGUGAACGUUGCUGCACUUGACUGUGUGGAGCGCUACCCAGGACUUUUACUUUGAGGAAAUUAGAGUGUUUCAAGCAGGCAUACGCCUUGAAUACAUUAGCAUGGAAUAAUAAGAUAGGACCUCGGUUCUAUUUUGUUGGUUUCUAGAGCUGAGGUAAUGAUUAAUAGGGAUAGUUGGGGGCAUUCGUAUUUAACUGUCAGAGGUGAAAUUCUUGGAUUUGUUAAAGACGGACUACUGCGAAACCAUUUGCCAAGGAUGUUUUCAUUGA